AUUCAACUAAUCUAAUGUGGUUUGAGUGUUGGACUAUGACUCUGAAGACCAGGGUUCAAUUCCCAGCUUGACUA